rnacentral:lncRNA from 1 species
GAUAGAGUAUGUAGCUCUGUAGAGCAUGUCGUGUAGGACGACGUUAGCGGGUAGUGCUUGGGGACGACCCGUGCCUGGACCACUUGUGGACUGUGGAGCCUGGGCCCAUUGGGCAGGCGCAGUCAGCUGUGAGAGACAGCGGCCCGAUACCUAUAGGUAGGGCGGAGAGUCUGGUCAGAACGGUAGUCCGAGCUUAGACCCGAGUG